CUGCUGCCUCCCGUAGGAGUCUGGUCCGUGUCUCAGUACCAGUGUGGGGACCUUCCUCUCAGAACCCCUACGCAUCGUCGGUUAGGUGGGCCGUUACCCCGCCUACUGCCUAAUGCGCCGCAUGCCCAUCCCUGUCCGGCCGAAGCCUUUCCUGCCUCCGGGAUGCCCCGGUGGCAUGUACGCGGGUUUAGCCCGCCUUUCGGCGGGUUGUCCCCCUGACAGGGGCAGGUUGCAUACGUGUUACUCACCCGUGCGCCGGUCGCCGGCGGAGAAA
rnacentral:rRNA from 1 species